AUUGAACGCUGGCGGCAUGCUUUACACAUGCAAGUCGAACGGUAACAGGCCGCAAGGUGCUGACGAGUGGCGAACGGGUGAGUAAUGCAUCGGAACGUGCCCAGUCGUGGGGGGUAACGCAGCGAAAGCUGCGCCAAUACCGCAUACGAUCUGUGGAUGAAAGCGGGGGACCUUCGGGCCUCGCGCGAUUGGAGCGGCCGAUGUCAGAUUAGGUAGUUGGUGGGGUAAAGGCUCACCAAGCCGACGAUCUGUAGCUGGUCUGAGAGGACGACCAGCCACACUGGGACUGGGACACGGCCCAGACUCCUACGGGAGGCAGCAGUGGGGAAUUUUGGACAAUGGGGGCAACCCUGAUCCAGCAAUGCCGCGUGCAGGAAGAAGGCCUUCGGGUUGUAAACUGCUUUUGUACGGAACGAAAAGGCUCUGGUUAAUACCUGGGGCACAUGACGGUACCGUAAGAAUAAGCACCGGCUAACUACGUGCCAGCCGCCGCCGUAACAC
rnacentral:rRNA from 1 species